GGUGCCCGUUGCAACGAGGCCCCCUAUCUGGCAUGUACAGGUUGGCAGUGGGCAUUGACGUAGGGAGAGCCUAUCUGGCAUGUACAGGUUGGCAGUGGGCAUUGAUGUAGGGUGAGUCUAUCUGGCAUGUACAGGUUGGCAGUGGGCAUUGACGUAGGGAGAGCAGACCUGCUGGUAUAGGGGCACCCUGUAGCAAGACCCCCUAUCUGGCAUGUACAGGUUGGCAGUGGGCAUUGAUGUAGGGUGAGUCUAUCUGGCAUGUACAGGUUGGCAGUGGGCAUUGAUGUAGGGUGAGUCUAUCUGGCAUGUACAGGUUGGCAGUGGGCAUUGACAUAGGGAGAGCAGACCUGCUGGUAUAGGGGCACCCCGUAGCGAGGCCCCCUAUCUGGCAUGUACAGGUUGGCAGUGGGCAUUGAUGUAGGGUGAGUCUAUCUGGCAUGUACAGGUUGGCAGUGGGCAUUGAUGUAGGGUGAGUCUAUCUGGCAUGUACAGGUUGGCAGUGGGCAUUGACAUAGGG